rnacentral:lncRNA from 1 species
UGGGGAUCCCGAGGAGAGAAUAGAGAAGAUGUCAAUGCUACUGAAGAAAAUUAAGGACUUCGUACUGACUGAGAACCCAAACAUUGAUUCUUCUGCAAGGGAAAAGUCUUCUACAUUUAGUGGACAAGCAUCUGAAGGCGGGAGCCAGAAGGCCCCAGUUAUACCAGAUGAUUUUCGUUGCCCUAAACUUCUUGUGGACAAGCAUCUGCAGACGAGAGCCAGAAGGCCCCAGUUAUACCAGAUGAUUUUCGUUGCCCUAUAUCCCUGGAGUUGAUGAGAGAUCCAGUCAUUGU